GUUAUGUAAAGCUCUAUCAGCAGGGAAGAUAGUGACGGUACCUGACUAAGAAGCUCCGGCUAAAUACGUGCCAGCAGCCGCGGUAAUACGUAUGAGCAAGCGUUAUCCGGAUUUACUGGGUGUAAAGGGAGUGUAGGUGGCCAUGCAAGUCAGAAGUGAAAAUCCGGGGCUCAACCCCGGAACUGCUUUUGAAACUGUAAGGCUAGAGUGCAGGAGGGGUGAGUGGAAUUCCUAGUGUAGCGGUGAAAUGCGUAGAUAUUAGGAGGAACACCAGUGGCGAAGGCGGCUCACUGGACUGUAACUGACACUGAGGCUCGAAAGCGUGGGGAGCAAACAGGAUUAGAUACCCUGGUAGUCCACGCCGUAAA
rnacentral:rRNA from 1 species